AAAAAAAAAGGAAAAACAAAACACCUUUUUGCUGCUGUUGUGGUGCACUGGAUGGGAUCUCCUUUCAAUUAAAAAUCAUUAUCAUCAUCAUCAGGAAAAGCUCUCUCGCUCUUUUUUUUCUCUUUCACACUCUGUCUUUUCUCCACUGCUUCUGCCACUCGGACUUCCAAACCUCUUCUUGAACUUGGGAGGAUGUGCACCGCCAGUACACUUUUCUCUUUCCCCUCUUUCCAGAGUGCUUGGCAAAUUGGCAAGUGCGCUUUUCCACCAGGAGGGUUAAAAAAAAAAGCAAAAAAAAAAAAAAAAGCAAAAAAAAAAAAAAAAGCAAAAAAAAAAAAUCAGGAAUAAGAAAGAAAGGGAAAAAAAAGUACUGAAAUUGGGAUUUGCCCACACAGUCAAAAAUUGCCAAAAAAAAAAAAAAAUGUUUCUCAGAGAUUGACCCUUGCUGGGUAGAUAUCUAGAGAGAAUUUGUUUGAAAAGGGGCAGCCAAAACUGUGUCUCCUCUUUCCCAGUUCAAGUGGCACUGCUCUGCCCUGGUGCUUUAGGAUUGCCCGUGCUCCUGCACCACUUUGCACUCUUCCCCCCUCGCCUGGCGCUGGGACUGGAAGGAAGGAAGCCCCCAGUGCAGCUGGGCUGGUGCUGGCUAUUACUAUUAUAUAUUGCAAUGUGAAGAUGGCGGAGUCCUGGUUCUCUGGGAGCGCUCUGUCUCUCUAUGGCUGGGGCUGCCUCUGUACAAUGGGAUAAAAUUCAAGUUCAAGUGCGGACGUGACGUUUAAUCUGCACUAGAGACAAAAAGACCCAGAGAGUAGGAGCACUGGGGGCGACUAGCGGUGGCUUUUUAACAUUGUACCCUGCAAGAGAACAAGAAACGCCACUCGCACACACCGCACUCACACACAGACACACACACACACACAAACUAAAGCACAUGCACGGAUCGGGAGCAGCUCCGGGCUUUGUGCGCUGCUGCUUUCUCGGCGAAGCGUGAUGGCAGCGGGACACGCGCGCACACGCUCCGACCCUCUUCUCCCACCCCUUUUCCUUACAUCCCGGCAGCGAGGGUUUCUCUGGGAGGAAUUCACACUCCGACACGAAUCGGGAGACGCCGGGCUCCCGGGGAGCGCAGCUCGGUCUCUUUCCCCAUUUCCCACGCAGUUUAUAGGUACACUUCUGCUUCUGGAAUGGAGGGGAGCACACCUCACCGGCACCCAGAGCACAAACUGUCAGCAUCCCAUCUGCUGAGGAUGCCGCUAAGGUGCCACCUGGACAUCCGAGUAAUUCUGGGGUUGUCACUGUUUUUUACAAAGACAAAAUAAAUGGAAGGAAGAUGGACA
rnacentral:lncRNA from 1 species